rnacentral:lncRNA from 1 species
AGCAUUAGAAACAACUUCCAUUGAUCCUACAAAAACAGAUACCAACAAUAACAACUUGUUAGGUUUAAAUGUGUUUUAUGAAUUUAUUUCCAUCUUAAUCAUCAAUUUCUUCGUCUGUUGAAACCUUUUCGAUUUUUUCUCAGUACCGUUUUGUUUUUAUAAAGGAACGUAACACCACUUCUAACCGUGUAUGAAAUAAGCCCCGCC